rnacentral:rRNA from 1 species
GCAGUCGAGCGGACAGAAGGGAGCUUGCUCCCGGAUGUUAGCGGCGGACGGGUGAGUAACACGUGGGUAACCUGCCUGUAAGACUGGGAUAACUCCGGGAAACCGGAGCUAAUACCGGAUAGUUCCUUGAACCGCAUGGUUCAAGGAUGAAAGACGGUUUCGGCUGUCACUUACAGAUGGACCCGCGGCGCAUUAGCUAGUUGGUGAGGUAACGGCUCACCAAGGCGACGAUGCGUAGCCGACCUGAGAGGGUGAUCGGCCACACUGGGACUGAGACACGGCCCAGACUCCUACGGGAGGCAGCAGUAGGGAAUCUUCCGCAAUGGACGAAAGUCUGACGGAGCAACGCCGCGUGAGUGAUGAAGGUUUUCGGAUCGUAAAGCUCUGUUGUUAGGGAAGAACAAGUGCAAGAGUAACUGCUUGCACCUUGACGGUACCUAACCAGAAAGCCACGGCUAACUACGUGCCAGCAGCCGCGGUAAUACGUAGGUGGCAAGCGUUGUCCGGAAUUAUUGGGCGUAAAGGGCUCGCAGGCGGUUUCUUAAGUCUGAUGUGAAAGCCCCCGGCUCAACCGGGGAGGGUCAUUGGAAACUGGGAAACUUGAGUGCAGAAGAGGAGAGUGGAAUUCCACGUGUAGCGGUGAAAUGCGUAGAGAUGUGGAGGAACACCAGUGGCGAAGGCGACUCUCUGGUCUGUAACUGACGCUGAGGAGCGAAAG